AUGGCUAGCUUUUCUUUCUUCUUUAUCACCACCUUGAUCUUUGUCAUUCCCAUUAUUGAAGGGCGUAUUCUGAAAUAAGGGUGUAUUCUGGCCCGGGCCCGGGCCUAAACGGGCCGGGCUUCGCGGUCCCGGGCUUCGUGUGCCGGGCCUGAAGGGCCUGGCGGUCUUGGCGGUUGAGACCGGCCCGUGACGGACCUAAGCCCACACUGGUCCUGGGCCUGGCGGGCGUUUUUUUUAUGGCAAUAUCUUGUAUAGUAGUUAUUAGUAUCGUGUAAAAUAUAUUUUAUAUGGUGUACUAAGUUAUUAGUAUAGUAUAUAUAAU
rnacentral:lncRNA from 1 species